rnacentral:lncRNA from 1 species
GCCACAGGAUUCCGAGCAUGGCAGCUUUUCAAACAUACUUGGUAUAAAACAAACCAUCGUGGAAAAAAACAGACCCACUGCUCAACGCCAACCUGGGGAAACAACAGCAUCCAGGGAUUCCGGCUCGGCAACUGUUUUAUCAACCUGCACAGCAUUAGGAGGGGAGAUGCUGCAUUUGUGAUCAAACGGCUGGAACUGAGAAACCGUUGUAGAGGAAUGGUGGGCUUUGCUGCAAUUUGUGAGCCUGCUUUGAGAAGUCACAAGACUGAAGAGAAGAUGGGAACUUGGGGUUAUAAUGAACAGACCACCAUCAAUUCACAUACGCACAACUCCAUUACAGUGUCAAUGUCAGAAGACCAGGAGAGCACUGCUUUCUACAUUUCAGUGAGAAAAAUUGUACAUCAAUGAUUACAUGUAACAUGAGUUUUACUGUUAUCAGAUACCAGCUUAUGCUAUAGUGGUUACUAUAAAAUUCACGAUGCUGGAUGCUGUAAAAUAUGUUUAAAAAGUAGUCCAUUCUCUGAGCUUAUAAAUUAAAUAGCAUAUAUAGGAACAUAAAGGUGUAGUCCAAAAGCCAGAAAGAUGUUUACCUCAACACAUAUAUUAUUGUCACUUUAGUGAAAUUUCUUUGUAUAUAGUUGCUGGUUUCCUAAUAUCUAACUCAAAAAUUCCUAGAUUGCAAAGCAGGGCUAAUAACUUCUAUCAAUAAAAUUUUUUAUAUCUUUUUUUUCA